rnacentral:rRNA from 1 species
GACGAACGCUGGCGGCGUGCUUAACACAUGCAAGCGGUGCGACGAACCAGGCUUCGGCCUGGGGCAGAGCCGCGAACGGGUGAGUAACACGUGGGUAACCUGCCCCGAUGACCGGGACAACCCGGGGAAACCCGGGCUAAUACCGGAUGAGCUCUCCGCCCUUUCGGGCGGCGAGGAAAGGUAGCUUCGGCCCCCGCCUCGGGAUGGGCCCGCGGCCCAUUAGCUUGUUGGUGUGGUAACGGCUCACCAAGGCAACGAUGGGUAGCUGGUCUGAGAGGACGAUCAGCCACACUGGGACUGAGACACGGCCCAGACUCCUACGGGAGGCAGCAGUGGGGAAUCUUGCGCAAUGCGCGAAAGCGUGACGCAGCAACGCCGCGUGGGGGAAGAAGGCCUUCGGGUUGUAAACCCCUUUCAGUUGGGACGAAGCCUUCCCUGGUUAAGAGCUAGGGGGGUGACGGUACCUUCAGAAGAAGCCCCGGCUAACUACGUGCCAGCCGCCGCCGUAAAAC